rnacentral:lncRNA from 1 species
GGGAGCAAUUUCUACAAGAUGCUGGAGGGUGAAGAGCUAUGAGACAAAUCUACAAGCCAAAGACCCAGGGAGACCCUAAGGCUGUAGGGAAUUUUCUACCUAUCAUCUUAUUAGACUAUUUUAGAAAAAUAUCUAUUCACAGGGGGAAAACAGCUAUAUAAGCUUCUGAGAGACUUCAAGACAUAUUCUACUCACCAGAGUGAAACCUUCUUACUGUAUAUAGAAGCAACCUCAGCUGAGGAUCAAUUACUCAGUUGCCAGACAUCUUUAGCAUCAGUCCUCCAGGUGCACGUUCCAACCCUCCCCAACCUUCUCUGUCCCAUGGGAGGCUGAUUUCUGUUCUUUGCAUCAUCCUAGCUCCCUUCUCCUCUGCCUUCUGGUUGAAUUCAGCUGAUAGAAGGCAUGUGCAAGAGAUGGGGAGAUGUGAGAAUGAGAGGAGAAGGAGGCAGAGUGAGGCCAGAGGUCCUUUCUUGCAUGGGCAAAGGUUGGCAGUUGCUCUUUCCCUCCAGAGAAGAACACAGCUCCCAUCAUCCUACAGCUAUGGCUCUCAGAGUUCUCUUACCUUUUCCUUCCUCUGCCUUUACAAGCCUUGGUUGGUGAAGACUCCCAGCUGCUGCUAGCCCUGGGGAUAUUUCACCAUUCUCUGCUGGUUUCCCUUAAAGUUGCAGUCACCCUUACAAAUAGCCUCUUUGUUAAACUCCCCUAAUAAGCCCCUAUGAGUGUGCUGCUGCUUCUUGUUGGGAUUUAAAUACUCUCAGCAUAUCAAGGAUGGUACUAGUCUGCAUGAGGCAAUGCAUCAAAGUACAAAGGCCAAUGCAAGCAAGUGAGAGACAACACAGAGGUACCUUCCUCUUCUUUCCUGCUUUCACUGAUCGGCCAAUCAAUGCAUACACUGAAGGGAGAGUUUGGUAAUAAACAAGAGCUAUAGGGGAUCCUUGUGAGAUUUUUGUCCCAGGAUCCUAAAUUCCUGGCCUUAAUGACCUCUGAAUGAAAUGAUCCAGAGAAGCUUUUCCAAGUACAGUUAAAAGAUUCUUGCAUAAAUCACCAUUUUGAAGACCGUGAGCACAAAGCCCCCAGGCUUCCUGGAGCCUAAGGACUGAUAAUGUGAACCUCUGUGACACUGCCCUAUCACCUCACCAUCAGACAAUGAAAGAAUUGUGCAGGAGCUGAUCACUUACCUUGUGACCUCCCCCUCUUUACCUGGCUUUUUAAAUUGCUUUACAAUUUUGUCCGGGAAGUCCAGGCUUUUUGUGGGGCAUGAGCCACCUGCCUCCUUGCAUAGCCUGCAAUAAACCUUUAUCUGCUUAAAAAAAAAAAAUCACUUUGCAGACCCUGAAAAAGCUAAUUAACCUUCCUCUCUUUUUCCAAUAGAGGAGCACAUCUGGGUUUCUCUUAUUGUCUCAAACAUAACUGAGUGGGACAGCCAGACAAACUGAGAAGACUGAAACCAUGUGGGGAAAAUGGAGACUUUCAGAGAUCCACCUAGCAGGUCAUCAUAGCCAGAAGAUGAAUGUUUUAAGAAAUGAGAUGUGAGUCUCAGAAGUGGGCCUGAAACAAAACAUCAGCCUAAAGGAGAAGGGACAAAGAUGACACAGUGGUAAACUCCUGAGGACUAGAGAGCAGGUAAGCUCAGAGCAGGCAGUUAGCAAAGAUCCUCACUACAGGUAAAUGGUGGUAUCCGUGAAGGCACACAGUCAGCAGCGGGGAGGGCCAACAGCUGAUAAUAUUUCCCUAUCAGAUACCUACCCUGUGGAAAACAUGAGGAAAACAACUAAAGCUCAUCCUGGUAGAACCAACAGAGAGGGCCAACUCAGAGACGGCAUAGUGCUCCUUACUGACUACCUUUUUUUUUUUUUUCUUUCUUUUUGCCAUUAUCUUGGCCGCUCUCGCAGCAUAUGGAGGUUCCCAGGCUAGGGGUCAAAUCGGAGCUGUAGCCGUCGGCCUAUGCCAGAGCUACAGCGAAGCGAGAUCUGAGCCGCAUCUGCAACCUACACCACAGCUCAGGGCAACGCCAGAUCCUUAACCCACUGAGCAAGGCCAGGGACCAAACCCGCAACCUCAUGGUUCCCAGUCGGAUUCGUUAACCACUGAGCCACAACGGGAACUCUGUCACUGACUACUUAUUAAAGACCACAUUAGAUCACCAUUCCUGAACAAGCAAAGUCCUUAAGUGCAGAUUAGGAGCUCAAAUGCCAGAGCCAGAGGAAUAGAAAUAAAGCAAACACUGCAACUAAACUGAUGUGCCAUAAAUAAAGUUAGUGUUGAAAUGUAUUCUACCCUGCCUAGAUAAAAGGCCACAGUACAAAAGUAUCCUUUUAGCAGUCUUCACAAAAAGGAAGGGUAUUCUUAUCUUACUUUCUGCAUUUAUUUAAGGAAAAUGAGAUAAAGCCCAACAUUUUUCCAAAUAAUGACAUAUCAAAGAGCAGAGGAAAGGAAUGACUUUCUGCUAGUAAUCUAACCAGGUGUUUUCUUCUUUUUGUUUCUAGGACUGCAUUUGCAGCAUAUGGAAGUUCCCAGGCUAGGGGUCUAAUUGGAGCUGUAGCUGCCGGCCUACACCACAGCCACAGCAAGGCAGGAUCUGAGCUUCAUCUGUGACUUACACCACAGCUUAUGGCAAUGCCAGAUCCCUAACCCACUAAGAGAGGCUGGGGAUCAAACCCGUAUCCUCAUGGCUACUAGUCAGGUUCUUAACCUGUUGAGGCACGACGGAACUCCUGACCAGCUAUUUUAUAUGCAACUUAACAGGUGUGAAAUCAAGAUUCUGAAUUCAUAUUUUCCUGCUGAGGUCAGUUAGCUCUCCUUCCCCCCUCCCCCACCAUCCCCACCCUCCAAACUGUCAAUCGAAUUUAGAUAGGAUGGUGGUCAGGAGGCAGAUGAAGUUGAAGCAUCAAGCAGAUGAGGAAAAUACACAUAAAACAAGCAUGUGGCACAUAACUAACAAGUUAGAAGUAUUUACUAAUUAAAGAUAGAAGAUACUAUACGAUCCUAAAUGAGACAUGAAUUUUAGUCAUUUUGGGGAGGAAGAGCAAGAGUGAGAGAUCUGAAGAAUCUUACUUCUUAAAAUGAAAGGAAUUUUGGGAAUUUGAUCUUUCUUAGAAGUCUGACCUUGAAUCCUACAUCAUCAUAAGGGGUUGAAACCAGAUAUAGCCACCUAUUAUGUAUUGGCUUUGUAUUAACACAGAGUACUUCUGUU